CCGAGUUUACAACUCCCAAACCCGAUGUGAACCAUACCAAACUGUUGCCUCGGCGGGGUCACGCCCCGGGUGCGUCGCAGCCCCGGAACCAGGCGCCCGCCGGAGGGACCAACCAAACUCUUUCUGUAGUCCCCUCGCGGACGUUAUUUCUUACAGCUCUGAGCAAAAAUUCAAAAUGAAUCA
rnacentral:misc_RNA from 1 species